rnacentral:rRNA from 1 species
UACAGAGAGUGCAAGCGUUAAUCGGAAUUACUGGGCGUAAAGCGCGCGUAGGUGGUUUGUUAAGUUGGAUGUGAAAUCCCCGGGCUCAACCUGGGAACUGCAUUCAAAACUGACUGACUAGAGUAUGGUAGAGGGUGGUGGAAUUUCCUGUGUAGCGGUGAAAUGCGUAGAUAUAGGAAGGAACACCAGUGGCGAAGGCGACCACCUGGACUGAUACUGACACUGAGGUGCGAAAGCGUGGGGAGCAAAC